GACCUUCUGUGGUGUAGUUGGUAGCACCAUAACACAAAAAUUGUGUCCUAGGUUCAAGUCCUGGUUGGGUAA